UAUGGUCCGUUCGUAUUGCUAGCGCGCCCUUAUACAUACGUAUGUACACGGAAGUGGUCCCGCCCAUUGACCCAAACGAUCGGUUUUGGCGGGAGUUCUGGGGGAAGGGAAGGGAAAGGGAGGCCGCUUCAGCUGCGCGCUAAAGAGGCCUGAGGAGAUUUGUGCGCGCGGCCGCUUCGCAGGGCAGCCCAAAGCGACUUACAUUCAACCAACCAGAGAGACAAAAAUCAUCGCACAGAUAGAUAUAGAUAUACUGGUGAGAAACAGCAGCAAUGC